rnacentral:rRNA from 1 species
AACGAACGCUGGCGGCAGGCUUAACACAUGCAAGUCGAACGCCCCGCAAGGGGAGUGGCAGACGGGUGAGUAACGCGUGGGAAUCUACCCAGUUCUACGGAACAACACAGGGAAACUUGUGCUAAUACCGUAUACGCCCUACGGGGGAAAGAUUUAUCGGAAUUGGAUGAGCCCGCGUUGGAUUAGCUAGUUGGUGGGGUAAUGGCCUACCAAGGCGACGAUCCAUAGCUGGUCUGAGAGGAUGAUCAGCCACACUGGGACUGAGACACGGCCCAGACUCCUACGGGAGGCAGCAGUGGGGAAUAUUGGACAAUGGGCGAAAGCCUGAUCCAGCCAUGCCGCGUGAGUGAUGAAGGCCUUAGGGUUGUAAAGCUCUUUCAGUGGGGACGAUAAUGACGGUACCCACAGAAGAAGCCCCGGCUAACUUCGUGCCAGCCGCCGCCGUAACAC